rnacentral:lncRNA from 1 species
AUAUCUUAUUCAUACAGAGUUCUUUAUACUAUUGUCGACAUUACCCAUUGGUAUUUACUGAUUUCAGGUUAUGACAAAGUUGAUCCCUUUUAUGUUUCCGCAAGCCUAAACCGAGCUUCUAAAUUGUGAACUUGAUUUCAAAACAAAAUUGCUUACUCAACUGUUUGUUUGGUUUUCUUACUAAAUGGUAUGGGUUGUCUUUUCGACUCAAACUUAUGUAGUUGCACUUGAGUCCACUUCUCUCCCCUUAAUCGUUGUUUAAAGGCGUGCUUAAUUUGCUGAAGUUAUUCUAAGAAAGAUACUCCUACUUUUACUAUAUCUCAAUGCUUUGAAUUAUAGUUUUGAGUAAAUGCUGUACUGUUGGUUCAUUAUUAAUCAUGGCUCUUCUCCAUUGCCCCUCAGGUACUCUUCAUGUUGUGCGGUUAUUUCCACAUACGUGAUUCAAAACAAAUAGCAAAACAAAGCUUUAUGUCAUGUAGAGUUAUCAUUUUCUUCAGAUUCAGGAAAUAGUCAAGUCUGACUAAUGUAUCUAUUGCAGAAGAAAAUCGCACAAACAUACAUUUACAGGUCACUUUGAGGCUUCAUUUGGAAUGGCCUUGAAGCUGUAAAGCUGAUGGGAUGGUACUAUGGUAGGCUUCUAUGUCAUAAUCUGAUCGAAAUUCUCUGUUCAUGGCUGUUCGUCUCACAUAUGCCCUUAAAAAGUAUUGGUUAUUUUGGUGUACCGAGGUUGGACUGUUGGAGCAUAUGUGGUACCAAUCAAAGAAAGGGUAAUGACAAGCUGGUAGGGUGGCCAUGACAGAUCAAAGAAAGGGUAAUUUACUUGUAGAUCGACAUGAUGCAGCUGCUUCAUUUACUAUAGUUUCCAGCCACUCGGCACUAGGAGAUUAAGUCCUUUUUCAGAGGAUUGGGCAAGUACUCAUGCAUCUAAUUAAUUCGGAGCCACUCAAUCUAACUCUCUAAACAACAUUUGUAUACAUGCUGAUACAAAUUUGCCUGUAUACUGAUCUAUACUUGUGCAGAGAGAAUAACCACUGUCUUUUCAGUUUUCACUGAAUGAUAUCAAUACUUUUACAAGGAGGAAGCUCAAAACUCUAAGUUUAUACAUGUACUCAACAAGUUGCACAGCAUCAAUUUGCAUUUCAGAUUCUAACACAGAAAUUGGUACGCGGAGAUAUGAGAAACCUUGGUCUAGAAGUUUCAAGACAGUUCCAUCUGCAAGAGGUAUGUGUCUUGCUAUUGCUCAAGUUCUUUUCUCCACGUUUUCAUUUUUGUUUAGUUCCUAAAUUCAUUUUCUGGAACCAUUGCAGAGAUUAAAACGUCAGGUUCGGGAAUACCAAGCAUAUCUGAUAAAAAUAGUUCAGAUCUCUCUAGGAAAAAAAAAUUAGCAGCUCCAGCAAUGUCUCUGAGUAGUGAACUUUGCCUGUUUAAUUUCACAACUGCAUGUGGACACAAGGAUAUUGGUGUUCAAGGGUAGCUUGUUCAAUGGGGGUUGUGGUACUCUUUUUCCCUUAGCCCAGGAUUUUGUCCCACUGGGUUUUAACUGGGCAAGGUUUUAACGAGGCCACUAAUUAGUCCCCAUCUAUGUUGUAAUCCUUUCUUAUCUUAAUGAAAUCCAUAGAAGCACGGGAGUCCAAAAUUGAUAGUUUGUUUUUAACUUGAAUCAUUGUAUAUUUCGAGUCUCGAUGGAGUCUCAAAGGUAGGAGUCAAGUUUUUGGGAAUAGAACAAGGGCAAACCUCGUCUUCCAUUUUCGUAUCAUUCCCCAAGCUCAAACAACUCACCGUCGAUUACAUGAGCUCAAUGGGAAGAAUGGGAAGGAGUGGAAGAGGAGAAUUCUGAGAAUAAUGCAAUCAUGCCCUGCCUCUCUCAGUUCACAGUGCAUUGGUGCAAGCACCUAAAAGCAUGAUCAUAACAAAAUACAUAAAUGCAAAAGUAACUGGACAUGUAACUAAUAAAUGCAUAUUUAGAUGAUUAUGUAACUAUGUAAUUGACAAUGUAACUAGCAAUGUAACUAUCUAUGUAACU